CCAAGUUGCUUUGGGAAUCUUACCUCUCUAACAGCUUGAUAGCAAUAAUUUAACUUCAAGUAUGCCCUUAAGGAGGACAUGUUGGUUUUUAACUUGUCAUCAAAUUCACUAGGUGGCCAUCUGAAUUGGAAAUUUAGAGGUCUUAUAUCAAAUGGACUUGUCAAAGAAUAAUUUCUUUGGUGGUAUUCCAAGUGAGAUCUGUGCUCUCCAACAGUUGAUAAUUUAUCUCUCUUUAGCACAUAAUAAAUUCCAAGGACCUAUACCAGGUCCAAUUGGGAGCACCUGGAUCUCUCGAAUAGCAUACUCUCUGCUGUGAUUCCCAAGAUUGUAAAUGGCCCUCUGCAAGGAAUUUCUCCUUCUAGUCUGUUGUAAGACAUACUUGGAAACAGCUCUUUUAUGCACAAUCUUGGACCCUGCGUAGCUCCUCAACUAGGCUUCAAUAAGAUUUCUGAAAUAUGUUGUGCCGGCUACAGCUUCAGCAAUAUUGGUACUAGCCCUUGUAUAUGUGCUGGCAAGGCGGCAAAGAAAAAAGGAGAACAGUCCUUUCUCUACUCAACCUGAUUUGCUACAUAUGGCAACAUAUAGAAGGUUUUCAUACCAGGAACUCACGCAGGCUACAAAUGGAUUAGACGAAAGUAAACUACUUUUGGAUAGAGAGGGAUAAUUGGUAUGGCUGUUGCAGUAAAGGUAUUCAAUUUGCAACUAGUUUUGACGCAGAAUGUGAAGUUCUUUGAAGCAUUCGUCACAGAAAUCUUAUCAAAAUUAUCAACAGCUGUGCCAAUGUUGACAUCAAAGCAUUGGUUAUGGAGUUCAUGCCCAAUGGAAACCUUGAGGCAUUGUUGCACUCUAAUUCCUAUUGCUUGGAUAUGCUACAGAGGUUAAACAGCUUGAGUCUGGAUCACAGGGAAUAGUGUCUUAUGGAAUCAUGUUGAUGGAAACAUUUACAAGGAAGAAGCCCACAGGAGAAAUGUGCUUGAAAGAUUGGGUAUUAGACUCAUUGCAGAGUGGUGAGGUGAUGAAUUCCAAACACAAAUGAGAGUGAUCUCGCAGCUAAUGUGUAUCAUCUGUCAUGAGUUUGGCUUGUGAAACGAGGAUCAACAUUCUGCACAGGCUGAAGAAAAUAAAGGACAAGUAUGAAAAGAACAUGCAAGCCAAUUGCAAAUUACCAUAAAAUCUUUUCUUUUUCUCUACAAAAGUGGAAUUCUUUUUGCUUCUAUAAUGGUUAAGCUACUAUAUAGUCUCAACUUAUGCUUACGUAAAACAAUUUAUUCCUCGAAAUUCUGGAGUGUACGAACUAGUUUUAGGAAAAGUAGUGUCCUUUGUAG